rnacentral:rRNA from 1 species
GAUGAACGCUAGCUACAGGCUUAACACAUGCAAGUCGCAGGACUGGCGCACGGGUGAGUAACGCGUAACCAACCUUCCCAUGACCACGGGAUAACCCGUUGAAAGACGGACUAAUACCGUAUGGGGAUGGCUGGGGAUGCGUGGGAUUAGCUUGUUGGCGGGGUAACGGCCCACCAAGGCGACGCUCAGUAGGGGUUCGGAGAGGAAGGCCCCCCAGAUUGGAACUGAGACACGGUCCAAACUCCUACGGUAGGGUGGAGUGAGGAAGAGUGGUCACUGGGCGAGAGCCUGAACCAGCCAAGUAGCGUGCAGGACGACGGCGUAGGGGUUGUAAACUGCUUUUAUGCGGCGAUAGGUAUCGAAUGAAUAAGGACCGGCUAAUUACGUGCCAGCAGCCGCGGUAAUUC